CCUACGGGAGGCAGCAGUGAGGAAUAUUGGUCAAUGGACGCAAGUCUGAACCAGCCAUGCCGCGUGCAGGAAGACGGCUCCAUGAGUUGUAAACUGCUUUUGUACGAGGGUAAACGCAGAUACGCGUAUCUGUCUGAAAGUAUCGUACGAAUAAGGAUCGGCUAACUCCGUGCCAGCAGCCGCGGUAAUACGGAGGAUUCAAGCGUUAUCCGGAUUUAAUGGGUUUAAAGGGUGCGUAGGCGGUCGGAUAAGUUAGAGGUGAAAUCCCGAGGCUCAACUUCGGAAUUGCCUCUGAUACUGUUCGGCUAGAGAGUAGUUGCGGUAGGCGGAAUGUAUGGUGUAGCGGUGAAAUGCUUAGAGAUCAUACAGAACACCGAUUGCGAAGGCAGCUUACCAAGCUACUUCUGACGUUGAGGCACGAAAGCGUGGGGAGCAAACAGGAUUAGAUACCCUGGUAGUC
rnacentral:rRNA from 1 species